GAUGAACGCUGGCGGCGUGCCUAAUACAUGCAAGUCGAGCGAACAGAUGAGGAGCUUGCUCCUCUGACGUUAGCGGCGGACGGGUGAGUAACACGUGGAUAACCUACCUAUAAGACUGGGAUAACUUCGGGAAACCGGAUCUACUACCGGAUAAUAUAUUGAACCGCAUGGUUCAAUAGUGAAAGACGGUUUUGCUGUCACUUAUAGAUGGAUCCGCGCCGCAUUAGCUAGUUGGUAAGGUAACGGCUUACCAAGGCAACGAUGCGUAGCCGACCUGAGAGGGUGAUCGGCCACACUGGAACUGAGACACGGUCCAGACUCCUACGGGAGGCAGCAGUAGGGAAUAUUCCGCAAUGGGCGAAAGCCUGACGGAGCAACGCCGCGUGAGUGAAGAAGGUCUUCGGAUCGUAAAACUCUGUUAUUAGGGAAGAACAAAUGUGUAAGUAACUAUGCACGUCUUGACGGUACCUAAUCAGAAAGCCACGGCUAACUACGUG
rnacentral:rRNA from 1 species